AUAACUUAUUAGCUACAGAUAACAUCCCUUUGUUCUCCCAGUGACUCCACACCCACAGAAGGAGAGGGGGAUGAAGAAAUCUGCCAGGAGGGUGCCUCCCGCCAGUAUCUGAUGAAGCUCUCCUUUGGAGUAAUAUGUUGUCUGUGCCAAGGAUGGAAUGAAAACAGAGUAUGAUGGCUCAUCUUGACUUUUUCCUUACUUACAAAUGGAGAGCCCCAAAGUCCAAAUCCUUGGACCAGCUAUCCCCCAACUUCCUCCUUAGGGGCAGAAGGAGGAAAUGGAUCCAGCCAGAAGGAUCAGAGAGUGUCAGAAGAUCUGGAAACUUCCUCCGUAGGGCCAAAGCCUCAAAAUAUGCCAUUCUAUUCUGGGGAAUGCCAUUUCUAUUCAGGGCUCCAUCCAUCAAAUGGAAAUGGGACUCUAGGCUACUUUCCCAUCUCCCAGGAAUUUGGAUGCCUAGAACACAACAAUUCUUUUAAUCUUCUAAGUUAAAAAAAAAAAAUUCGGGGACAGGUGCAGUGGUUCACUCUUGUAAUCCCAGCAGUUUGGGAGGCCGAGGUGGGCAGAUCACUUGAGGCUAGGAGUUGAAGGCCAGCCUGGGCAACAUAGUAAGACCCUAUCUCUCAAAAAAAAAAAAAAAACAAAAAAAACAACA
rnacentral:lncRNA from 1 species